rnacentral:rRNA from 1 species
UACGUAGGCAGCGAGCGUUGUUCGGAGUUACUGGGCGUAAAGAGUGCGUAGGCGGUUUUCUAAGUUUGGUGUGAAAUCUCCCGGCUUAACUGGGAGGGUGCGCCGAAAACUGGAAGGCUUGAGUAUGGGAGAGGUAAGCGGAAUUCCUGGUGUAGCGGUGAAAUGCGUAGAUAUCAGGAGGAACACCUGCGGCGUAGACGGCUUACUGGACAAUAACUGACGCUGAGGCACGAAAGCGUGGGUAGCAAACAGG